AAACACCCAAAAUCAAUCCCAACCUUCCUUUUAUGGUCAUAAACCUUGUGUUUAAAUUUCAUAGAUUUCUAUUUACUUUUACUAAAGUGGGAAAAUCAAAUGUCUUCGGACGAUGACGACGACGACGACGCCAACAUGAUACCAAUAUACGACCAAAAAAUUUUCAAUUUUUGCGGUCGUACAAAAACUGAAUGAAUGAUUGAUUGAUAAAAACAUGUGAAUAAUAGCAAGUGAUGGCAAUAGCACAAACAUUCAUUUUGGUGGUGGGAGGUAAAAGGAAUGCACGGAAGCACAAAAUAUUUUAGUAAAAACAACCAAUACAAAACCAUGGGACUUGGUGGCAUGCUCUGUCAAAUAUAGCAUGUUCUUGAAAAAGGCACACUAUUUGUAAGACAAAAACAACAAUAAAUAAAACAAUUACAUGAUAUAUGUUUGACAUGAAUAUUCAUUACUAUGUAUAUUUCUUCAUUAACCAGUAAUAAAUUAAGGUAGAUGCUCAUGAUAAU
rnacentral:lncRNA from 1 species